rnacentral:tmRNA from 1 species
GGGGUCGACAUAGUUUCGACAGGGAUGUUAGCCUGGCUCUAACUGCAGUCGAGCGGUGACGUAAUCACUAAAAAUAAAUAACUGACAACAGUUAUAUGAGAGCUCCUAGAGCUCAAUCACUCUGCUUAGCUUAAUUGCUUCUCAAUAAUGAGUUCCGACGCUAGUCGCCGGGCAGAGCACUUCUUAGGGUUUUAGCCUUUCACGCCUAAAUAAAGUGUUAUACCAAAAGGAUAGAAUAAGCCAGUUGACUUGCUAAUCUUAUUUGAAAUUCAAUUAGUCUCGCGGAGAUAGCUACGAUAUGCCAAGCUUCGUUAAAAAACAUAAUAUCGUCUAAACUGUAGACGUUAUUGUAGGGCCUUCCUUGGACACGGGUGCAACUCCCGCCGGCUCCACCA